GAGGACGAAAAUUCUGCAACAUUGCAGCUUCACAAGAAAAACGUCUGGGUUAAAUAACUCAAGAUGCUGAUAUACCAUCCCUCUUCAACAAUUCCAGUUUGGUUGCAGUAAUUGACAGACGUUGCCUUUCUCUUUUCUCACGUCGGCACUCUCCACACCAGCUGGAGAAAUCCUUUUGAUAUUUCUUCAGCUCUCGGAAGACUGAACUUCUGCACCACAAAAUUAGGUUGCACCGAUGCCCAGAAGUUGUAGCUCUAGCACCAUGCCGAUGGCGACCACGAUGAAGAACAGCACGCCCCGGAACAUGGACAUAAUCCAAAAUUUCCUCUGGUUGAGUUUCAGUAUUCACAUGUUUAUCACACCGUACACCGCGAAAAAACAAUUCUCCACCAUAAAAUUGCUUACCCAAGCAAACAUUCAAGGUGACUUCUGAGUCAUCCACAUGGAAACCGAGCUCAACAUCCCUAUCAACUCCAUAUUCAACAACAAAACCGUGAUGAGAAUCUAGAGUUAAUCCACCAACUUCAGGAAAAAAAACUUUAGACAUAGGACGUAUAUAUUCAUCCAUCAAUUUGUCAAGAAUGGUUUCCAGCCCAAAGUCAUCUAGAACAGCACCAUACUUGUUCAUUGUGUUUGGACGCAUUAUUCUGAAUUUUGUAUCAUGAACCCAUCUUUCAAAAUUUUCUACCUCAGACAUCAACAUUUCACAGAAACUUGGCUGAAACAUUUCAAAUACAUAAACUCCUGGCGUGGGUUCCACCAAUAUACUUCUAAAACUCUCAUCAGUUUUUUCAUUAAUUGCUUUGAGAAAUGAGGGAACAAAGAAGUUAACAGCAUUCAUGGUAUACAACUCCCCAUGUAGAGGCUGAUAGUUUGAUAUAAUCUUCUGCCUGUAUUCUCUAUGUUUUUGAAUACGAGUGCGUUCACCCUCGGGAGAGUAGCGACCGAGAAUGUCCCUCAUGAACUGGAUUUUAGCUUCACGUGACAAAUUAAGCAUGGAAGGAGGCAAGUACCGCUCUAGCGAGCUGAACAGUAAAGGACUGAAAUCCGAUUGCAGGUCCUCAUAGCUAUCGGGUUUGUGAUCGGUGCUAGGGUUCAACCUUAGCCUGUGUGCUACCUGAGUAGAUAGUGCGACGCCAUUUCCAUUCCCACUGGGCUUCUUGUGCUCAUCUAGCGACAUUGUUAGAAUAGCUAUGUUGAUUUUGAUUUCACAGAGAGAGCCUGUGGUUGAGAAUUUGCAUACCAGUUCUCGUUUAGCAGAGGCAGAGGGUGGAAUUAGGGUUUGCUGAGUGAGAGAGAAGGGAAAAGCAGAAGGUUGUUUGUCGUGCAGGUUAGGGUUUGUAAUUGUCGUCUGUAAGUAGGUUGGAUUGGAUCGUGUGUUAUUCACAUGUGCCGCGAAUCGGAUGAAGUAUCGGCACGUGCAAGUUUUUGGUUAGUUGAAACCUCAUCGAAGCCCUCUCCAUUCUCCAAAGCUCAUCUCGAGCUUUCUAGAAUUUGUAGUGUAAGAACG
rnacentral:misc_RNA from 1 species